AGAGUUUGAUCCUGGCUCAGGACGAACGCUGGCGGUGUGCUUCACACAUGCAAGUCGAGCGAAUGAAGUAGGUAGCUUGCUACUUAUGGAUUUAGCGGCGGACGGGUGAGUAAUACAUAGGAAUCUGCCUUAGAGCGGGGAACAACAGACCGAAAGGUUUGCUAAUGCCCCAUAGGUAUGCAGUCUUCGGAUUGUAUACUAAAGGAGUAAUCCACUCUAAGAUGAGCCUGUAUCCGAUUAGCUAGUUGGCGGGGUAAAGGCCCACCAAGGCUACGAUCGGUAGUUGGUCUGAGAGGAUGAUCAGCCACAAUGGGACUGAGACACGGCCCAUACUCCUACGGGAGGCAGCAGUGGGGAAUUUUACACAAUGGGGGAAACCCUGAUGUAGCGACACCGCGUGAACGAAGAAGCCUUUUGGGGUGUAAAGUUCUGUCGGCUGGAACGAAAAAAAUGACGGUACCAGCAAAGGAAGCAUCGGCUAACUACGUGCCAGCAGCCGCGGUAAGACGUAGGAUGCAAGCGUUGUCCGGAUUUAUUGGGCGUAAAGAGUUCGUAGGCGGUUAUUUAAGUCUGAUGUUAAAUACUGUGGCCCAACCACAGAACUGCAUUGGAUACUGGAUGACUUGAGUGCGGUAGAGGCAAGUGGAAUUCCCAGUGUAGCGGUGAAAUGCGUAGA
rnacentral:rRNA from 1 species